ACUAGAGAGGUUGUUGAUUUGAAAAAGACCCCGUAGCAGUCGCCGUUCGCAACUUGUCUUUCUCCUCGUGGCUGCAAGAAGACGAUAAAGUUGAGAUCCCCCAGGUAUUCAAGAAAUACGAAGAGGUUCGUCUGCAUCAAAAGGCUUCGUUAAAAAAAAAAAGAGUUGCCACCUUAUCAAGAUCCCAGGUGAUGAAGCACCUCCAGCCACACAGGCAGGGUUACCUGCUCUUCUGACUUGAGCCUACAGCAAGAUGAAAGGGACAUCAGCUCUGUUACUCUGGAAGGGAGCGUGGAGGCCUCUGAGAUCACUGUGAACCUUGAGGACUGAGGCUGCGGCAGUUCCCACACUCACACGCACACACACACACACACACACACACACACACACACACACACAC